GACAGGACCCUGCGGCACCACUGCGGAGCCUGCGCUCUGAAGCCCCAGCCCCACGCCGAGCCCACGUGCCGCCUCUGCCGCAGAGCGAGCGCCCCAGAGCCCGCGCCCCGCAACAGCAGAGAGGCUCACGCCGCAGCUCCCCGCAACAGGACCCAGCACAGCCAUAAACAAAUGAAAAUAAAAGACGCGCACUCUCGACACACAAGGAAAUGCAAACUCGGGCAGAAGCAACAGCCUCACUUUCAUCUGAGGAGCUGGCAAAACCCGAAAAGAGUAACACCCAGGGCCGGUAGAGAUUCGGAGAAAGAGACAUUCCUGCUCAUUGCUGGUAGGAACGCGGCCAGCUGCGACUUUUCUGGAAAGGAACUUGCUUCUCUGAAAACCACACUUGACAGCAAAGAGGAAGAAACUUCUGACAUGAGCUACGAGGCGGAUGAAUGUCCAGGAUGUUGGGCCAAGUGGACAAGCCAGAGCUGGGCGAGACACGCAGGGGGAUCCCAGUCGACCAAGGGAUCAAUCUGAAGGAGAGUCUUACUGCAGAGAAGGAAUCAACACGGAGCUGCUCAGAGCAGGGCGGGAAUCUGGGCUGUCACUCAUUUACCCCACUGCUAUUUACUG
ensembl:lncRNA